GUCAGUCAAUUAGUCAGUCAGUCAGACAGUCACUUAGUCUGUUGGUCGGUCAGUCAGUCAGUCAGUCACUUAG